rnacentral:rRNA from 1 species
UACGUAGGGGGCUAGCGUUGUCCGGAUUUAUUGGGCGUAAAGAGCGUGUAGGCGGCCAGGUAGGUCUGCUGUGAAAACUCGAGGCUCAACCUCGAGACGUCGGCGGAAACCAUCUGGCUAGAGUCCGGAAGAGGAGAGUGGAAUUCCUGGUGUAGCGGUGAAAUGCGCAGAUAUCAGGAGGAACACCAGUGGCGAAGGCGGCGACCUGGGCCAAUACUGACGCUGAGGUGCGAAAGCGUGGGGAGCAAACAGG